rnacentral:lncRNA from 1 species
CGACUGACAAGUGGUGACUGUAAGACGCACAGGGAACAGAUGGAGCAGCUGGUGCUGUGCAUGAAAGGUCAAGUGCUUGGACUGAUGGUGUCCUGUCCCACAUAGGCCAGUGUCUCAGUGUGACCAUGAGAUUCAGCAGUCAGCCUUGCCCAAGUGUCCUUUCCAGUCUACAGUGGACCUGGAAGUUGGAGGCAGAAAUGGGGAUGCCAGGUUACUGUGUGGUCCUGAGUGGAUUUGCCAUAACAAGUACAUUACUUAUGUCUGGUUUAUCAUAUGAUGCUGUUGUUUAUAACUAAUUAUUAAUCUUCUACACUCGGUUUUAUUUUCCAUAAGCUUUACCCAUGGAUGAAAGAUUUUAUUAACUUUUCCUCACAUGAUAAAUCUAGACUUUGAAAUAUUGAACUAAGAAAAAAACAACUGGAAAGUAUAUUGAGAAGUACGCCCAAUUGCUGCCCUGCCUAACUCUUCAGGUGACAAGUAGCUUUCUAAAGCUUGGAACUGUCGAAGGACUUCUGAGUAUGCUUCCAGCCACAAGUCAGUACUGACAUCGUCACCAGUGUGUGUAGGAGGAGGGCACUGCUCUCCACACUGAUGCAGCACUGUGGUGGUUGUUCCUCUCAGGUACCCUACUGACAGACCAUAGCACAGCUAUGUCCCCAUCGUGCUGGAGUUUGUUGUAUGAAUAGUUAAGAUGUUAAUACUACACUUUUUUGCCUUUCUCAUAGCUAAUGUCUAUAGAACUAGCUGUAUUACUUGGUUUUUGUUUUGUUUUGUUUUGAUUUUUAUUGUUUUAGCUGUUAAAUGCCCCCCCCCCCCAAUUUCCAGAUAGUAUAUCUAACUGCAACAGAUGAAUUUUAUGGUUCACAAUAAGUUUGACUUUCAACAAUUUGUUCAGUGUGAAUAUUUUUAUCUUUUUCAUGCUUCAACUUACUUGAAACUCAAUUUAUUAUUAAAAACUGUCUAGUAGGACCAACUUAUUGUUACUUUGGUAUGCAGUGAAAUGUUCGAUUAAGCUAAUAUUGAAGAAAGAUACUCUGACUGUUUUGAAAUUUAUUAUGAAUCAUAAAGCAAAAAUCAUUUCAUAAUAUUUCAGAGAUAAAGGUGCAACUGUUCUUAGUCCAGUAUGUCAGUAGAAUUCAUAGCACAAAUAAAGUUUGCUUAACUAAAAGAUUUUUUUCUGAAAGUCCAUCUAUUAUCAGAAAGCACCAGGAAGAAGUUGUAUUAGUAGCUGCUGUUUUCAUUGGAAGAGUUUUUCACUAAAUUUCUGUGUAAAAUCUAUUUUCAAUAAGAGAUGUUUUUGUUUUCCAAACAUACUAUUUAGUAUGAUCUUUUGCCAUCUAAAUGGAUAAGAAAGAUACAAUUGAGGGCUGGUGGUGGUCAUAUAACCACUAAAGAAACCCUGUCUUUAGUGCUGUAUCUUGUAUUCAUUCUCAUGUUAAUUAAUUACUAGAUGUUUUCAGUCGUGUCUCCAAUGAAAACAGGAGCGAGAGAUCUUUCUGAGUCAGUUGAUGAAUGAAUCAUACUAAUUUUUAACAGGUUUUCCAUAUGAUUUUUAUCUCCAUCUUUUUAGUAUGCUGACCAAGUUCUUCUAGGUGGUAAAGUUUGUAUUCCAGGUAUAUUGAGUUUAUGUAUUUAUCAUGUAUGCACUAUUUUUCGGUGAAAACAAACAUCAACCUAAUGGGCAGCCAUUAUCCAGUAUCCAUGUAUACUGAUUUACUCAUGAGUUCCACCUGUUUGCAUUUUUUGUUUAUUGUUUUUAUUUUUUGUUUGUUUGGAUUUUUUUUCUUGUGUCAAAAAAUAAAGUUUAAUGCUUUUCCUGGUACCUUGCCCUUUGUUGGCAUAAUUGGGAUAUAAAUCAUUCAAAUCUCCACAAUUAAGAGUUUCAGAAAUAUGUGAUACUGGCCACUUGACUUAAUAAAGACUAGAUGUACAAAACAGAUAGAAAAAAAGUCUAUUUCCUCACUAAAAACAAUUGAAUAUUUUUCUUAUUAGCAAAUAUUAGUAAUAGCAUAGACUAUGAAUAAUUUCUAUAUGUUUUGGUGGGCACAUAGUGAGACAAUGAUUAUUACAGUAAAUACUCAUUUCAGUUAACCAACUGGGCAUUGUAAUUACAAUAGGGCUAUAAUGCAUGGAAACUCACUCGUCAGAAUCCUUAGAGCUAUAACCUGAGACAGUUGAAGGGCCCAUAGUUCAUUUGGGAGGUGUAGAUAGUAGUGAGUCUGAGGAAGCCUGGAAAGGAAAGGUGUACAGGGGGUGUGUUGUCAUGCUGGCUAACACUGCAGGCUGCUAGAGCCAUAUUUCCUUUGUGCUACUCUGGAAAACACUAGAACACACAAUUUAGACAUACCUCAUGUGAAGAAGUGGGGUUCAGAACUAGUCUGGGACAGUGGUAGCUAUCCUGUACAGUGAACAGCAGCUCUUGGCAACUUGUAUUCAAGAGCUGUAGCUGGACAUGAUGGCACAUGCUUGGCAGUCCCAGCAAGGGACUGAGAGGUAGGGUCAGGAAGACCAGGAGUUUAGGGGUAACCUGGGCUACAUGAGACUGGUUC